rnacentral:rRNA from 1 species
GCGUGAGUGAUGAAGGCCCUAGGGUUGUAAAGCUCUUUCGCACGCGACGAUAAUGACGGUAGCGUGACAAGAAGCCCCGGCUAACUUCGUGCCAGCAGCCGCGGUAAUACGAAGGGGGCAAGCGUUGUUCGGAAUCACUGGGCGUAAAGCGCACGUAGGCGGAUCGUUAAGUCAGGGGUGAAAUCCCGAGGCUCAACCUCGGAACUGCCUUUGAUACUGGCGAUCUUUGAGUCCGGGAGAGGUGAGUGGAAUUCCGAGUGUAGAGGUGAAAUUCGU